rnacentral:rRNA from 1 species
UACGUAGGGUGCAAGCGUUAUUCGGAAUUAUUGGGCGUAAAGAGCUCGUAGGCGGCCUGUUGCGUCUGCUGUGAAAACUCGAGGCUCAACCUCCAGCCUGCAGUGGGUACGGGCAGACUAGAGUGCGGUAGGGGAGAUUGGAAUUCCUGGUGUAGCGGUGGAAUGCGCAGAUAUCAGGAGGAACACCGAUGGCGAAGGCAGAUCUCUGGGCCGUAACUGACGCUGAGGAGCGAAAGCAUGGGGAGCGAACAGG